rnacentral:rRNA from 1 species
GACGAACGCUGGCGGCGUGCCUAAUACAUGCAAGUAGAACGCUGAAGUCUUUAGCUUGCUAAAGUUGGAAGAGUUGCGAACGGGUGAGUAACGCGUAGGUAACCUGCCUACUAGCGGGGGAUAACUAUUGGAAACGAUAGCUAAUACCGCAUAACAGCAUUUAACCCAUGUUAGAUGCUUGAAAGGAGCAAUUGCUUCACUAGUAGAUGGACCUGCGUUGUAUUAGCUAGUUGGUGAGGUAACGGCUCACCAAGGCGACGAUACAUAGCCGACCUGAGAGGGUGAUCGGCCACACUGGGACUGAGACACGGCCCAGACUCCUACGGGAGGCAGCAGUAGGGAAUCUUCGGCAAUGGGGGCAACCCUGACCGAGCAACGCCGCGUGAGUGAAGAAGGUUUUCGGAUCGUAAAGCUCUGUUGUAAGAGAAGAACGUGUGUGAGAG